rnacentral:tRNA from 1 species
GGAGGCAUGCCGGAGUGGUUGAACGGGCUGGUCUUGAAAACCAGUAUCCGCCUUAAACGGUGGAUCAGAGGUUCGAAUCCUCUUGCCUCCGCCA